ensembl:snoRNA Small nucleolar RNA SNORA2/SNORA34 family
UGUGCCCUGAAUCAAGGCCGACAGCUUGAUGUAGCUGUUGGUUUCAAACAGCGGCCAAAAUCUAAAUCUUCAGAUGGUCUGUUGAUUUUCCCAGACUUUGUAAAAUGGGAAAAAUCAGUUCAGUUGGAAGAGACAUUU